rnacentral:rRNA from 1 species
AUUGAACGCUGGCGGCGUGCUUAACACAUGCAAGUCGAACGCGAAAGGGACUUCGGUCCUGAGUAAAGCGGCGCACGGGUGAGUAACGCGUGGAUGAUCUACCCAUGAGUUAGGAAUAACGGCUGGAAACGGUCGCUAAUACCAAAUACGCUCCGAUUUCAACUUCGGGGGAAGGUGGCCUCUGCUUGCAAGCUACUGCUCAUGGAUGAGUCCGCGUCCCAUUAGCUAGUUGGUGGGGUAACGGCCCACCAAGGCGACGAUGGGUAGCCGGUCUGAGAGGAUGACCGGCCACACUGGGACUGGAACACGGCCCAGACUCCUACGGGAGGCAGCAGUGGGGAAUAUUGCGCAAUGGGCGAAAGCCUGACGCAGCGACGCCGCGUGAGGGAAUGAAGGUCCUCGGAUCGUAAACCUCUGUCAGGAGGGAAGAACCGCCACGGUGCUAAUCAGCCGUGGUCUGACGGUACCUCCAAAGGAAGCACCGGCUAACUCCGUGCCAGCCGCCGC